AGAGAAAAUUGAUAUAAGUGUUGUCUAAACACUCUUAAUCUAUCUCUAACUCUUAUAAUUAGUCAAAUGCAUUAGAUUGUGACAAAUUUUUACAAUAGAAACACAAACAAACCUAUUUACUGCUUCUAAGCAAAUUUUUGUUGGUUUUAACCUCUUUUGAGAGAAACUUAGUAUAAGUGUUGUCUAAACACUCCAAAUCCAUCUCUAACUCUUAUAAUUAGUCAAAGGCUUUGGAUUGUGACCAUAGAAACACUAACAAAGCUAUUUACUGCUUGUAAGCAAUUUGUUGGUGGUUUUAGUCUCUUUUAGGAGAAAAUGGGUAUAAGUGUUGUCUAAACACUUCUAAUUCAUCUCUAACUCUUAUAAUUAGUCAAAGGCUUUGGAUUGUGACACAUUUUGACCAUAAAAACACUAACAAAACUAUUUACUGCUUCUAAGCAAUUUUUUUGUUGGUUUUAGCCGCUUUUGGAAGAAAAUAGGUAUAAGUGUUGUCUAAACACUCUUAAUCCAUCUUUAACUCUUAUAAUUAUUCAAAUGCAUUGGGCUGUGACACAUUUUGACCAUCAAAACACUAACAGAAGUGUUUACUGCUUCUAAGCAUUUUUUUGCUUGUUUUAGCCUCUUUUGGGAGAAAAUGGGUAUAAGUGUUUUCUAAACACUCCUAAUCCAUCUCUAACUCUUAUAAUUAGUCCAAGGCAUUGGAUUGUGACACAUUUUGAUCAUAGAAACACUAACAAAUAUAUUUACUCCUUCAAAGCAAAUUUUUGUUGGUUUUAGCCUCUUUUGGCAGAAAAUGGGUAUAAGUGUUGUCUAAACACUCUUAAUCCAUCUCUAACUCGUAGAAUUAGUCAAAGGCUUUGGAUUGUGACACCUUUUGACCAUGCAAAGACUAACAAAGCUAUUUACUGCUUCUAAGCAAUUUUUUCUUGGUUUUAACGUCUUUUGGGAGAAAAUGGGUAUAGGUGUUGUCUAAACACUCCUAACACAUCUUUAACUCUUAUAAUUAGUCAAAUGCAUUGGAUUGUGAUACAUCUUGUAAGCAAGUUUUUGUUGGUUUUAGCCUUUUUUGGGAGAAAAUGGGUAUAAGUGUUGUCAAAACACCCCUAAUCCAUCUCUGACUCAUAUAAUCAGUCAAAUGCAUUGGAUUGCGAUACAUAUUGACCAUUGAAACACUAACAAAGCUAUUUACUGUUUGUAAGCAAUAUUUUGUUUGUUUUAGCCUCUUUUGGGAGAAAAUGGGUAUAAGUAUUACCUAAACACUCCUAAUCCAUCUCUAACUCUUAUAAUUAGUCAAAUGCAUUGGAUUGUAACACAUUUUGACCAUAGAAACACUAACAAAGGU
rnacentral:sRNA from 1 species